GAUGAAGAACGCAGCGAAAUGCGAUAAGUAAUGUGAAUUGCAGAAUUCAGUGAAUCAUCGAAUCUUUGAACGCACAUUGCGCCCGCCAGUAUUCUGGCGGGCAUGCCUGUUCGAGCGUCAUUUCAACCAUCAAGCCCCCGGCUUGUGUUGGGGACCUGCGGCUGCCGCAGGCCCUGAAAACCAGUGGCGGGCUCGCUAGUCACUCCGAGCGUAGUAAUACAUCUCGCUCAGGGCGUGCUGCGGGUUCCGGCCGUUAAAAAAGCCUUAUUUACCCAAGGUUGACCUCGGAUCAGGUAAGAAGACCCGCUGAACUUAAGCAUAUCAAUAAGCGGAGGA
rnacentral:misc_RNA from 1 species